rnacentral:rRNA from 1 species
UAGGGAGACUGCCGGUGACAAACCGGAGGAGGGUGGGGAUGACGUCAAGUCCUCAUGGCCCUUAUGGGUAGGGCUUCACACGUCAUACAAUGGUGCAUACAGAGGGUUGCCAACCCGCGAGGGGGAGCUAAUCUCAGAAAAUGCAUCGUAGUCCGGAUCGUAGUCUACGAACUCGACUACGUGAAGCUGGAAUCGCUAGUAAUCGCGGAUCAGAAUGUCGCGGUGAAUACGUUCCCGGGUCUUGUACACACCGCCCGUCACACCAUGGGAGUGGGUUUUGCCAGAAGCCGUUAGCCUAACCGCAAGGAGGGCGACGACCACGGCAGGGUUCAUGACUGGGGUGAAGUCGUAACAAGGUAACCA